CAAAUUAUAACACAGAGGGUAUGUUACUUCCCAACAUUCACACAAUGAAUCCUUAUUUGAAGAAUCCAGAAUACUUUGAAAUGUGAAUAAACAAAGGAGAGAUUGGUCUUUUUGAAGGAAGCACACUUUGCUUCAAGUAAUGCAAGAGUGGAUAUGAAUGGCUGGCUAGAUGCAAAGGAGAAGAUUGUGGAUUGGAAGAAGUAUAUCAGAGGAAGGCAUAUGAUCCACAUUUCAGUAUAGACCCAACAGAUGAAAAUAUUCAAAUCUAUAAAAAAUGCUCAUCUAAAGUA